rnacentral:rRNA from 1 species
GACGUAGGGUGCGAGCGUUGUCCGGAUUUAUUGGGCGUAAAGAGCUCGUAGGCGGCUCGUCGCGUCGGCUGUGAAAACCUAGGGCUCAACCCUGGGCCUGCAGCCGAUACGGGCAAGCUAGAAUUCGGUAGGGGAGACUGGAAUUCCUGGUGUAGCGGUGAAAUGCGUAGAUAUCGUAAGGAAGACCAGUGGCGAAGGCGGGUCUCUGGACAGUUCCUGACGCUGAGGCACGAAGGUCAGGGGAGCAAACGGG